CUGUUUUGGGAGUGUCAGUGCUUCUUGGAAAAAUUAAAAAUCUUUUAAUCAACAACAGUCUUUGCACUUGAGGAUUUGAGUGUUAACAUUUGCCCUUAUCUUUCACAGUUGAAAAUCCUACGUCAACUUCUGUGACUGUUACAUACACUGGACAAAAAAGAGCCAGAGAGGUGGAUGACUAAGGAUGUCUUGACCUGUCCUGUGUAGACUCCUGCAAUGAGGAUGAUCAGAGCCCAGUCAGAGGCUUUCACUGGGGAUGAAAAAAGGAAAAGAGAAGAAGGCAAAGAAACAAAUUGAGCCACGCCAAGCUACACUGAGUAAACCAUGGAGUGAAGCAGAAAGGAUGGCAGUGGAAAAGCAGUUGGGAAACUUUAUGGCAGAGCGAAGAGUUUCUGGCAGAGAGGAUUGUCUGCAGGCUAUACAAGCUGAGAAGGCCCUGAGUGAAAGACAGAGAACUCUAAACGUAAGUGGGACAAGAGUGACGUAGGUGCUGUUGAAAGACACAUGAUGCACUUCAUACACGCUUGCAAGAUACCACAGAAGAUGGACUGUCUUUGGUGUAUCAAUGCAGAGCCCGCACUGAGAGACCGCAAAUGGAUUGGUGUAAAAAAUUACGUCAGAAAUCGAAUCACUGCUUUAAAGAGUAAGGCUUGUGCUAAACAAUAACGACAUUUUUUGUUGCUUUUCAUUUUUUCGUUGCUUGUUACUGAACUAACAGACAAAAUCUUGAACUCCUGUGUUGUUAAAGUGCACCUUUGCAAAGUAUGCUUGUUCGAUGUAUACUGUUAGCUAAAACAUACUUGUUUUCUAAAAAACAGUUUACAGAAUAGUAGCACUCUACCUGUUACUUAA